AGCUUCUUGGCGCAGUGGAAGCGCGUCGGGCUCAUACGCUACAAGCGACCCGAAGGUCUCAAGAUCGAAACUUGAAGAAGCUA